GCUUACGGCCAUAACCACCUUAGGCACGCCCGAUCUCGUCUGAUCUCGGAAGCUAAGCAGGGUCGGGCCUGGUUAGUACUUGGAUGGGUGACCGCCUGGGAAUACCAGGUGCUGUAAGCA
ensembl:rRNA 5S_rRNA 5S ribosomal RNA